GUAUAGCAAUAGCUACUUGCAUCAUAGUAGAUAUGAUGCAAGAUCGACUAUGUUGAAUAAAAUUCUAGGUAGAAUUAUGAUAAUGACAUUGUCUGCCUAUGUGUCUUGACCAAAUUACGUGCCAGCAGUCGCGGUAAUACGUAGAAGACUAGUGUUAUUCAUGUUUAAUCGGUUUAAAGGGUACCUAGACGGUAGAUCAAGCUUUCUAAUAAAGGAAAAGGACUAAUUUACUAGAGUUACUUAUGAGGGGGUAUUAAAGUACUGCUGGUGUAGAGAUGAAAUUCUGUCAUACCUCUUUUCAAAAGAAAAACCAUGGCACAGGUAUAGGCGAAGGCAUCCCCUUAUGUGAUAACUGACGUUGAGGGACGAAGGCUUUGUGUAGCGAACAGGAUUAGAUACCCCAGUAGUCGAAGCAGAAAAUGAUGAAUGUCAUAGAUUAGAUAUAUAAGUUUAUUCUAUAAAUGAAAGUGUAAGCAUUCCACCUCAUGAGUAAUUUGGCAACAUUGGAACUGAAAUCAUUAGACCGUUUCUGAAACCAGUAGUGAAGUAUGUUGUUUAAUUUGAUGAUCCGCAAAAAACCUUACCACAAUUUGAAUAUUUAUAUUAUUUAUUGUUUUAUUAUUAAUUUUCUUAUAGUAAGAAUAUUAAUAAAGAGGCAAUAAGAUAUAUUUACAAGCGUUGCACGGCUGUCUUCAGUUAAUGUCGCGAGACUUUGGUUAGUUCCAUUAAAUUAACGUAAACCCUUACUUUAUUUUUAUAUAGAGUAGUUCCCCGCUAUAUUGGAUAUGAUAACAGG
rnacentral:rRNA from 1 species